AUAACCAUAGAUGAGGCAGUGAAGAACAGAUUGAGAGAUUCAUAGAUAUAUGAGACCUACUCUCAGCAGAGGAGUCUGUGAUAGGUUACAGAGUUCCCUACUCUGGACAGAAAGUCUUGCCAUUCCAGGCUCUCAAGAAGGGCCUCAUCUCCAGGCCUUGAAACUGCUGGCUACACAACUAUUCACAGGUGGCAUCAUGUAUCUCCAAAAAGAGCCAUCCCUUGCCGCUGGACAUCACUUGUGCCAAGGGGUACCUGGAUGAAAAAACAAGAUGUGUUAAUUGGUAUCCAGGGACAAUGCCAAUGUGUGCUAUGACACCUACACAGGAGCAGGUCAUGCACAGCUGGCUUCAGCAGUGAUACUGACAUUGUAAGCUGACAAGCUGAAAAGCUGGCAGGGCUGAGCCUGCUGCCACUCUCAGAGAAGAAUAUCUGGGCCCAAAAGAAGGAUCUCUACAUCAACAUCUAACCAUAUGAGUCCUUCCAAAGCCACAGAUGAGGUGCCCAUUGGCAGCUUCCAGGAUAUUAGAGUCAUGGUGUUGGAGCAUAACAACAGUUUGUACUUCAUGGAGAAGUACAAUUAGGGACUGUCCUGGAAGUCACAGGUGAGCAAGCCCCCAUGGAGAAGAUUAUCAAGAUCCUCACCAUUAUCAUUAAGGAGAUGGUGACCAAGUGGCAGGAGAAACUCUCUUUCAGUAUCCUCUGUAUGUCAAUCCCAAGCAUUAAGCUUCUUGACACCAAGGGUCUCACCAUGGCAUAAGUUAAGCAGCUUGAUGAUGGCAAGAUGUCAAUGAAGGACACCUUAGAUCUGGGCAUCAUUAAGAUGCUCCUCAAAGGUAGUGGUGGUGUUGCUGGUGCUUCUGGGCAGACUCCAAGGAAAGAGUGACCAGCUACAAGCCUAUGAAGUGGUGCCU
rnacentral:lncRNA from 1 species